GCUAUAUAUAAUUAUAUAUAUAUAUUUUGUUUUCUUUUGACUAGUGUUUACGUGAGUGUGUGUGUGGGUUGUGACUAUUAGUAGUUAGUUUGAGCUGGAAUGGAGGGCAAGAUUUAUAGCUGAUAUUUUGGGAAGUUUCCCACUUAUGGUGUGAAAACAAUUAGGGAAAAAUGCUCAUUUUAAUUAUGAGAAGAUAUGGGAAUCUCUUAGACAUUAUGGAGGGAAAUUUGUCAACUAAGUGAUUUCUCUUACCCUAAGCACUCGGUCAACCCCUGUAUAAAUAGAAAAGAAAGAAAUAAAAAAAAAAGGGAUGAUAUCUCACUACAUCACACCAAGCCACCAGCCCACAUAGUGUUAAGAGAAAAAGAAGGAAAAAAAAAAGGAAGGAAAGAAAGAGAUCAAGGCAAAUAACGGUAAGGGCUUCAAAGAUUUUUAGUCUAGUAUUACUUCUUCUCUUAUCCUGAAAUCCCUAUAUAUAUAUAAAUAUAUAAAACAAUAUGAUUUGCAUGUAGGAGAUUGAAUUAUCAUAGGUCUGGGAGUGUACAGGGGUUCACGUUCAAAUAAAGGGUUCUUAUUCUAUAGGACAUCUAAGCGUGGUUCACAACACCAAGAGGCUCUUUGUGAAGUGUUCCCGCUCGUUGAAUUUGCUUGGACUUGAGGUAGCAAAUAGGAUUUCUCUAUGGCACGCGUGGUGACGUGAGGAGUUCUUUCAUCAUGGGGUGUAUGGCGUGGGGUAAUCCUAUGGACGAUAAAACGAUCAACGUAGAACGCCAUUUAAAUUAUGUUUUGUUUUUUUUAAGGGACUUUCCUAAAUUAUCAGUGGGAAUCUGUUAUUUAAUUUAUUUGGUUUCUUUGAACUUUGCAUAAAAACCUAUGUUUUAUUUUAAACUUGUGGCGCCAAC